GGGUGUUCCAAACAGUUUUAUCGAAAGUAACAAAUAUAUAGAUAUAUCUUCCAACAAUUUCACCCUUCAAAGUUCAAUUCCUAGUGGUGAUUGUGAUCAAGUUAAUAAUGCGAAUUUGGUGGAAAGCUUUUCCAUGUGGAAUGAGUCGUAAGAAACCAUGCGUGUUAAUAAAAAAAUAUGAUUGUUUUUUUUUUUGAUGACUGUUUUUGUGGUUAAUUCUC